rnacentral:rRNA from 1 species
GGCGCUACAAGUAGGGAGCUUUCCUCGGUUUCUGUGUCGUAGCUAACGCAUUAAGCGCCCCGCCUGGGGAGUACGGCCGCAAGGCUAAAACUCAAAGGAAUUGACGGGGGCCCGCACAAGCGGCGGAGCAUGCGGAUUAAUUCGAUGCAACGCGAAGAACCUUACCAAGGCUUGACAUACACCGGAAACGGCCAGAGAUGGUCGCCCCCUUGUGGUCGGUGUACAGGUGGUGCAUGGUUGUCGUCAGCUCGUGUCGUGAGAUGUUGGGUUAAGUCCCGCAACGAGCGCAACCCUCGUUCUAUGUUGCCAGCGGGUUAUGCCGGGGACUCAUAGGAGACUGCCGGGGUCAACUCGGAGGAAGGUGGGGAUGACGUCAAAUCAUCAUGCCCCUUAUGUCUUGGGCUUCACGCAUGCUACAAUGGCCGGUACAAAGGGCUGCGAUACCGUAAGGUGGAGCGAAUCCCAAAAAGCCGGUCUCAGUUCGGAUUGAGGUCUGCAACUCGACCUCAUGAAGUCGGAGUCGCUAGUAAUCGCAGAUCAGCAACGCUGCGGUGAAUACGUUCCCGGGCCUUGUACACACCGCCCGUCAAGUCAUGAAAGUCGGUAACACCCGAAGCCGGUGGCCUAACCCUUGUGGAAGGAGCCGUCCAACCAGGGAACGGUGAUUUCCANUAACUCGU